UAUAUUUUGUACGAAUGAAUUCAAGAUAAUAGUUAAAAUUAUCCAUGUAUAACAAGGUACAUGUUACUUCUGACAUCUGUGAUAUUAAAUAUAAUUCAAGAGGAUAUAAUUGUUUUUUUACUAAUUUAUUCGAUUAAAUAGGAAUAUAAUAGCCCGUUGCCUCUUUUUGAGGACUUUGACUGCCUUUCAUUGUCUGGAUCUCUCCUUUUCUUCGUCGGAAAGCUAUUUAGGAUUUCAGAAUUAAGAAUAUCAGCUGUUCUUUUACUUAUAUGAUCUAAAAUAAAAUAUAUAUAUAUAUGCAUAUUGAACAGAACUUUUUGGGCUUCAUUAUCCGUCAACCUCUCUCUACAUACAUAUAAUAUAUAACUAGAUAUUUUUUUAUCCAUAAAUAUGGUAGAUGAUUCUAAGAUCGACCCAACAAGGGAUAUGAAAUGGAAAACCAUCACCUAUAACAAGUGGGAAGAGGUUUAUAUCCCAAAACUACUUCCUGAAGUACGACCCAAAAAAGGACUCGAAACAAGUCAAAAACAAGAAAAAUCCUGAUGCAAAAAAAGAAGGAUACUAAGCAAGACCUUAGUGUUAUGAAACGAGGGAGAGAGGUCCCAACUAAUCAAAUACCUCUUUAAAGAGGACUCAUAGUCCUCAAAUGCCUGCUGAGACAUUGCUAAGGAGGCAAACGAAAUUUUAAUAAUUAGAAAAAACGGUGGCCAUAUUUCCAUCAUUGAAUGGAACAAAGUUAUUAAAAUACUCGACACAGACAAAGUACCAAUCGGCGACCUAAUUCCGAAUUACGAAGGGCGUCACUACACGAAUGACAAAGCGGUGAUUUACGUAAAUGAUGAUAUUUAUGAAAAAUGAGUCUGAAAUAGUAAAUAUACCUCUCCUUGCAACCUCAUGGGAUGAAGCGGAGCAAACGAGGGAACUAAGAAAAGAGAAAAAUACAUCACGGGUUUUGUUUGUGGAGUGACUGGUAACAUUGGAGACGAGGUUUUUGAAAAACUUUGGUAAGGUACUCUACAUAUGUGUAGACCCACUGGCAUUUGAAGCCCUGCAAUCAAUAGACAAAAAUGCAAGUAAGAGGUGGGACCAGUAUUAGUGGUUAUCCCACAACUUCUUAAUCCAGUAGGAGUUGAAACAUUUCGACAUGUCUUCAAUGGGGAUGAUGUUCAAUCCUCCAAGUUUCAAGUGAUUGUGUAUUCUUGGAAAGGAUAUGUUCCUCUUCCUUAGAUAUUUCAAAAAGACUCCUGAAAGGUGCUUAUUUCAGAAGACAUUUUCGCACAGAAAGGAGUUACUUACAGAAGAUGGUACAAUAUACGUAUUCCAUGCACAUAUUUUAUCCCAAGAACGCAAAUUAAGUAGUGAUAUGUGGUUCGGGGUUUUCUUAAUUUUGGAGAGAAUCUCUUUGUAAUUCAAUGUGGUGGAGUUAACGCCCAUCCAAGAUCCCAAGAUAUGAAUAUUAUAAGUAAAUUUAAAAAGUGGCCAACGCUCAUGACCUUUUCAUAAAACUUUAUGAAAAAUGGGUGCUAGCUAUAUGAUUUUCAAAAAGGUUGUUACCGUCGGCUGGGAUAACAAAGUUAUUAUCAAGAUCACUUCAAAUGUACUCACGAAAAUCAGCACAUUGGUAUGUAUAUCUUGAACAUUUGCUUAUUGCAUUACAAUCGAAACAACAUUAUAGUGUAUUGUAAAAUUAUUUUAUUUCUGCACAGAUUAUUUAAGGAUCCUCAGUUAUUUCGCCAUCACGUAAUAUAAAUGACAUAUUCUUCCCCUUAUUUCUUCUUUUCUCAAGAUGAACCCAUUGUAACCUUAAUCUAGACAAGUCCACGAUGUUUUUCCUUUUCAACUUUAUUCUGGAUGCUAAAUCGGAUAUGCGAUAAAUUUGAUCUAGUUAGUAUUUUUAUUCAUAAUCAGAUGCAUCCUGUUUCUUUAUUUUUUUAGAUAGUGUCUAUGUUUCUAGAGUAGCAGCAUUCUUGAUACUUUUCAGCAUUUUUGUACUUCAGUGAAGACAUCUCUUCCAGUUACGACAUCGCAUAUACUAGUUUCUAUAAGUUCAAUGCUUUUAUUAUUUAUUCUUUUCUGAUUCAUUAACGAAGAGUUUAACUUCCAUAUCUUUUUGUUCUUAAUGUUCUGAUUAAGAGCUGGGUCCAUUUGAAUACACAUUGCUUUAUGAUCCCGUAA
rnacentral:lncRNA from 1 species